GGCGCAUCUGCCCGCCCUUCUUUUCAACCAGGAAGAUGUUGAUGAAUACCAUUGCCCCUUUUGUGUGAAGGGCCAACAAUUCCAAGAUGCGGUCGUUCACAGAGAGUGAAAUAGGGCGAGGAGGAGGAAUGUGACACGGACACAAACAUUGGAAAACAUAUGAAGUAGAUGUAAGCUUACCGUAAGGGCGUCUGGAACCAG